rnacentral:misc_RNA from 1 species
CACGCUUUUCCGUUUGCUUCCAGCUACUUGCUCCUCUGCGAAGGAGACUUACUCGCCAGGGUUGACAGUGGCACAGCGCAUCAGUCGAGGAAGGUGUCGGCACGCCCAGGUGCAAUGGCGGAGCAAAACGAUCGCGCAAGUGCACAUUCCUUACGCAGCGAAGCUAUUGUUCCAGGAGCUACAGUCAAUGAAUGUCGCCUGCCGGUUCGGCUUCGAGGACAAGGCGUCGCAGAACGCCGCACGCCAGGAAACGGUCGUCUGAACGCGCGCUCCUACUCCCUCCUUUCUUCUCCCGCCUGCAGCAUACAAUUCGUUCACCGUGUAGUCCUAGUGUAACACCUGGUCACCUUGAAGCAGAUC